rnacentral:rRNA from 1 species
GCGUGUGUGAAGAAGGCCUGCGGGUUGUAAAGCACUUUCGGGCGGGAAGAAAAGCGUGCGGUUAAUACCCGUGCGACUUGACGUUACCGCCAGAAGAAGCACCGGCUAACUCUGUGCCAGCAGCCGCGGUAAUACAGAGGGUGCGAGCGUUAAUCGGAAUUACUGGGCGUAAAGCGUGCGUAGGCGGCUUCUUAAGUCGGAUGUGAAAUCCCCGGGCUUAACCUGGGAAUUGCAUUCGAUACUGGGAGGCUUGAGUACAGUAGAGGGAAGCGGAAUUCCGGGUGUAGCGGUGAAAUGCGU